GUCAGUGUGCGUGUGCAUGGGAGGAGUGUGUGUGCGUUUGAUGACGGUGAUGGAGCCCAGUGACCCAUCGUCCGUGGAGUGUCAGAGCCUCCUAGGAUGGCCACACUGAAGGUGCGGAAGGAGGAGGCUGGCCCAGCGUCAGGCGUUUCCAGCAUCCGCGGGAGUGAAACGGAGGCUGGUGGGCCUCAUCCAAUCAGUUGAAUUCUUCAAGAGAGAACAACUGAAGUCCCUUAGAAGGAAAGAGUUCUGCCUUCAGACUGUCUUUGAACUUCAGACUGUAGCAUCGACUCCUGCCGGAAUUUCCAGCCUGCUGGCCAGCUCUGCAGAUUCACACUUGCCAGCCUCCGCACAAUCAUUAUUUUUGAACUGUGGUUGACUGCUCGUAACUGAAACGGUGGAAAGCAAAACAGCAGAUAAAGGAGGAUUUCUGGACUCUGGACCUCAUGUGGCUGUGGGACUACCCCUUCUUCCUGCUCUGAGCUGGGCUUCCGCAUCUGAGGAUGAGUACAGGGGAUGGGGCCCGUCAUCGUGUAUACAUCAUAGGUCAGUCCUGAAGAUCGAAUGAAGUCUACAUAUGAAGUGGUUGGCCCAGCCACAACUCAAUAAGUGUCAGAGGCAGCUGAGGCGGGGGAUCCCUAAGGGCUCAUUGAGAUCAUGGAUUUGCCCUUCUAUUCAUUGAUGGAGCACCUGCUGCCCACAGCAUCUGUAUUUGGUGCUGGGAUGCUGAGGACACUGAGAUCUUCAAACAGAGGCUGCCCCUCUGAGCAAACAGAUCCCGAGCCCUGGACUCCGAAGCUUGGACCCAGUUCUUCCUUUUCUCUGGGUUUCAGAUCCCACUGUGAAGUGAGGGGGCCCUUCUGAUUCAGGACCCGGGGAAGCCAGGGGCAGGAGCAUCGGUGCCUCUUCUCUAUUUCAAGGACCCUUCUGGGUUAAAGUUCUCUGAGGUGCCUUACAUGGAUUCCAACCACUGCAAGAUAACCAUCCUAUGUAAAGUGUUAUGACCAGCAGAGCGUAAUCGAAGUGCAUUCCAGAGGGAAAGACAGCGGCUCAGGUAGGCCUUAGAGAAUCCGUCUUGGGACGAAUCCCAUUCUCACACUCCUGUAACAUCCUUAUCAGAAGGCUGGAAGACCAAGCUGGGGCUGUGGGACUAGGAAUAAUUAAAAUACCUUUAAUUGGAAGAUUCCAUA